AACGCGAAGAACCUUACCUGGGUUUGACAUCCCGUGAAAAGCGCAGAGAUGUGUAAUAGUAGCAAUACACACGGAGACAGGUGCUGCAUGGCUGUCGUCAGCUCGUGUCGUGAGAUGUUGGGUUAAGUCCCGCAACGAGCGCAACCCUUUCCCUUAUUUGCCACCAUUAAGUUGGGAACUAUAGGGGUACUGCCGAUGAUAAAUCGGAGGAAGGCGGGGAUGACGUCAAGUCCUCAUGGCCCUUACGUCCAGGGCUACACACGUACUACAAUGGCCAAGACAAAGCGAAGCAAGACCGAGAGGUGGAGCCAAACGCAAAAACAUGGUCUCAGUUCGGAUUGUGGUCUGCAAUUCGACCACAUGAAGUUGGAAUCUCUAGUAAUCGCAGAUCAGCAGGCUGCGGUGAAUACGUUCCCGGGCCUUGUACACACCGCUCGUC
rnacentral:rRNA from 1 species